rnacentral:rRNA from 1 species
CAGCAGUAGCCGCGGGAAUACGAAGGGGGCUAGCGUUGCUCGGAAUGACUGGGCGCAAAGGGCGCGUAGGCGGCGAUCAAAGUCAGGCGUGAAAUUCCUGGGCUCAACCUGGGGGCUGCGCUUGAUACUUGGUUGCUUGAGUGGGGAAGAGGGUCGUGGAAUUCCCAGUGUAGAGGUGAAAUUCGUAGAUAUUGGGAAGAACACCGGUGGCGAAGGCGGCGACCUGGUCCUUUACUGACGCUGAGGCGCGAAAGCGUGGGGAGCAAACAGGAUUAGAUACCCCAGUAGUCCCUGUCUCUUAUAC